GUAUACGGGGAGAAAAAAAAUAAAGCAAUGGAAGUAAAGUCAACAGGGAGGGUAAAAUAAGAAAGCAACAGCAAGAGUCUCUCGUCUCUUCCGAUGAUAUUUCUCCCAGUCUCUAACGGUCUCUCCUUGACUCUCCCUCCUCCCCUCCCACUCACCCAGACCAAACAACUCUCUCCCUCAGUCCCUCCUCCCUCCUGCCCUCUCACUCACUGGAUCCCCAUGGCUUUCCUCCUCAUAGGACUUGGAUUUGGGCAUCCUGCGGCUCUCCAGCGAAAUGAUCGGUGGUGGCUGUUUUGGUGAUGGCGGCAUCGGCGGCGACGGGAGGGGCGGAUCCAGCGACCUCUUCCCCUCCCUCACAUAUCCCAUCGUCUGUUCGCUCCCCUCUCGCGCGGAUCCGCCGUCGGCGGCGAUGGGAGGGGCGGAUCCGGUGACCUCUUCUCCUCCCUCACAUAUCCCAUCGCUUGUUCACCCCCUCUUGCGCGGAUCCACCGUCGGCGGCGAUGGGAGGGGCGGAUACAGCAACCUCUUCCCCUCCCGCGCUGAUCCCGUCGUCUGUUCGCCCCCCUCCCCCCCCCCUCUCGCGCGGAUCCGCCGUCGGCGAUUAUGGGAGGGGCGGAUCCGGCGACCUCUUCCCCUCCCACGCUGAUCCCGUCAUCUCUCCGCCCCCCUCUCGCAUGGAUCAGCCAUCGGCAGCUACGGGAGCGUCGGAUCUUGUGACCACUUCCCCUCCCGCAUGGAUCCCGUCAUCUCUCCGCCCCCUCUCGCGCAGAUUUGCCAGUAGCUGUCCGGCUGGUCGGAGAGAAGGUUUCAAGAUGGCGGACGAAGGUUGACCUGUGGUUCUGCUGAUGAGGAGGCCAUGGCCGUCGGAUCCUGUGAGAGCGGACUCCCCGUUAGCUGUUCGGCUGGCUGGAGAGGAGCUUUCAAGAUGGUGGACCGAGGAGAGCGCGGCUGAGUGGUGCCAUUGAAGAUAGUGGGCGUUUCUUCAUGAUUUCAUAUUAACUUUGGGAUCUUUGGUACUGGUGGUUAUUUGGGCAGCUAUGGGGGUCUUGAUGGGUAUGACAAUACUCUACCAGGAAUUCAGAUAAGGUCACUGCGAAAGUUAUAGCCAUAUACUACAGGUACUGAACCACGUCCUUUGUACAGCGCCGAGGUAGGCCUGCUGUGGGGUGCUUUGUGUUGUGGAUAUUGGGCGUGGACCAGAAGCUGAUUAUGUGGUGUUUCACCGCGUGAAAUUGCACUACCAUGUCAAAUAUUAAAAAUUGCAUUUAUAGCUGUGAUUGGAACUCAGAAACUUUGACUACCAAGACAAGAGAUCAAGAUGCCUGGAAUGGCAUUGUGAAUUUGUGAUCCCCAAUACAAUUGAAGUUGUUCACGGAGCUGCUCUUGGCACGAUGGCUUCUUUGGUGUUGGAGUAGAACUCUUUGAAUGCUUUUUUUGUCACACCACAAGAACAAAUUUUAUUUGUGGUACCAGUUUUGUUUGUAUAUAUAUAGGAUAGGAUGUAUGCAGCGUUCCUGUGGUGUUCGAAUGUAAUAUUGUGGGGGGGGGGGGGGGGGGGGGGAGUUCCUGUCUACGUUACCCCGAUACUUCACUGAAGUCACACAUCCGUAUCGGAUACUCCAACGGAUACGGAUACGCUCCAAUACGUAUCCCGUACGUAUCCUGCACUUUCCCAAUUUUCAAUUAAAUAAAACAACCACGGAUACAUUUCGAAUA